ACUACGUCUACAGUUCUGUGGUCAGAUAGCUCCGUGGGUUGGCUUUUUAUUGGCUCACAUAUCUGGAUUGAUUGUAUCUUCGUGGAGAUAUAUUAGUUGCACUGUUCCAUGUCUGUUCACUAAUAUCAGACAGUUUCUUCGAUUCAUGUGGGCUGAAGUAUCAGCAUUCUGGAAAACCCACUCGAAUUUUAUUGUGUUUGCAGUUCUUUUGUUGUUGACAGCCACAUGCAUUGAAGCAUCAUUACUUUACUUUUUAAUCUAAGUUUCAUACCAGCCAAGUUUGGCCUAAACUGAAUUCGUCGAGUCCUUCUGCUUUGGGUGGCCACACGUUUAUUAUGGCUUUUCUUCCAUAAUUUUGUGUUGUGCUGCUCAGAUAUCCGAUAUCA